GGAAUAUUGGCAUGCUUCUCCCAGGCUUUGAACCUGACAAUGGACAUGAGAAACUCUAUUGAAAUUUUGAAAAAUCUGAAGUUUAGUUGAGAAGACUAUGACUAUAAGAGGAAAGGAAGCCUUGUUAUAUCAGCAGCCUGGAACAGAUAUCAGCUGUCAAUCAAGAAGCGUAAAGCAUUGAGAAACAUCUCUAGUUUGAAGACAGACAAAGUCACCAAGAAUGUUUCUGUGGUGAAUUGUAAUUGAAUACCCAAUAAAGAAAAGUUUGAGGAUACAAAGUGAGGCACAUGAAGGUAACAUCCAAAUGAUGCUUGCAACACCUUAGAGGGCAAAUAACCUUCAGUGGAAAAGUGUCUGAAGAUAAGUGUGGUGUAAGAAUGGCUCUUAACACCACUGCUUGUGAAGGUGGAAUG